ACACACGAGAGUGGGGACGGCGGGGACAGCCGCGUGCAGGCAGACACUCGGCCAUUAUGAUUUUGAUUGCUAAGAGCAGAGGUUGUCUUGUGUCAUAGAGACAUACCUAACUAAAUGUGGAUUCAUUGUGAAAUAUAAAUAAGUAAGUAAUGACGAUAUUACUUAACUUGGAAUUGGAUAUUUUAUUUGGAUACCGAUAAAUUCCAUUGUGGAGCCGUCACAACAAUCGGCGCUAGAUGAGCGGGUCGGGGCGGCACACGCAGCCGGACUCGACCAGCACGUAGUCCUGGCCGGUGAGCGUGACGGGCCCCAGCGGCAGCACCAGGAACAGGUACGGCACGUACGUCUGCGUGCACGACCCGCGCACCACCGAGCACGAGCUCGACCUGGACGUCGUUGUGUUAACACACAUGUUAUACAGGGUUACUUACAGAAGAUACCCUGCAAGAACCCGAGUUUGUAAUGGAUUUGGGUAGGUUGAUGUGCUGUCGGCUGUACAUAGUCCAUGUACAAGUUAUCUAUAUUGUUUUAAAAUAUUUUCAUAAAUGUAAUGGUGAUAAAAAAUAUGUUUGACCUCGGGUGUUUAGCUACCUACUUAAUUAAAUAGGUAUAUCGAUAACAAUAUUUAUAGAUAGCAAAAUCUAUCCACCAAUUUAGACGUGACAGCGUUCGAUCGGCGACACAGAGACUCCACACACACAAAAAAACUGUAUAAUGUGAAAAAAUCAUGGAAUUGAAAAAAAUCAUGAUUUUUCUU